rnacentral:rRNA from 1 species
GACGAACCGUGCGAACGUUAUUCGGAAUCACUGGGCUUAAAGCGCGUGUAGGCGGGACGGCACGUCGGUCGCUGAAAUCCCCCGGCUUAACCGGGGAACUGGCGUCGAUACGACCGCCCUGGAGGGGCGUAGGGGGACCUGGAACUUCCGGUGGAGCGGUGAAAUGCGUUGAGAUCGGAAGGAACGCCCGUGGCGAAAGCGAGGUCCUGGACGCCUACUGACGCUGAGACGCGAAAGCGUGGGGAGCGAGCAGG